CUGCUACAGAAUCCCAAGAGACAUGCUCAGAAGACCCUGUAGGAUACCUUCUUCCUAUAUCAUUAAUCUCCAUCCAGGUAAAAUCACAGGACUCAUUACUCCUGUCUGACUUACCUCCUGUCCAGGUCCUGGCAGGUGAAUAAGAGGGUAUGUGGCCACUCGGGAGACAUCAGGGAAGUCCCAGAACAUGGGGCAAGCAAAGGAUACAUGAUCAGAAAGGGAAAGACAGUAUUAUGGCUCCAAUGAGUGGGUGUAAUGAAGGAGCUGGUGAAAAAUAAAAAUCUCAGCAGUGGCCCAGAAUCACGCAAGAAGCUGAAGAUCAUCCGCAACUUAUUCCAAGGGCUUACAGAGUAUGAAUGUGAAGGCCUUGGAGAUAAUCAAACUCAAACUCAAAAUCAAAAGACUUCCAGUCUUUACAAACUCCCUUUGAUAAACAAAAAUUCCCACACCCGGCCUUAAUUGCAUUUGAAAUUCAAAGUAAAUUAAAUAUUGUGACAGAAAGGCAAU